GACGAACGCNGGCGGCGUGCCUAAUACAUGCAAGUAGAACGCUGAAGGAGGAGCUUGCUCUUCUGGAUGAGUUGCGAACGGGUGAGUAACGCGUAGGUAACCUGCCUGGUAGCGGGGGAUAACUAUUGGAAACGAUAGCUAAUACCGCAUAACAUUGACUAUUGCAUGAUAGUCAAUUGAAAGGUGCAAAUGCACCACUACCAGAUGGACCUGCGUUGUAUUAGCUAGUUGGUGGGGUAACGGCUCACCAAGGCUACGAUACAUAGCCGACCUGAGAGGGUGAUCGGCCACACUGGGACUGAGACACGGCCCAGACUCCUACGGGAGGCAGCAGUAGGGAAUCUUCGGCAAUGGACGGAAGUCUGACCGAGCAACGCCGCGUGAGUGAAGAAGGUUUUCGGAUCGUAAAGCUCUGUUGUAAGAGAAGAACGAGUGUGAGAGUGGAAAGUUCACACNGNGACGG
rnacentral:rRNA from 1 species